rnacentral:rRNA from 1 species
CAAUAGCGUAUAUUAAAGUUGUUGCAGUUAAAAAGCUCGUAGUUGGAUUUCUGCAUUUACUCCUGACUCACAGGUCCUCACGGACUCUGUUCGAUGUUGGUUGAUGUUUAUGCAUCCUUUCAGGUAGUUAUCUGCUUGCAGGUUUCUGUCUGGAUCGUUUACUUUGAAAAAAUUAGAGUGUUCAAAGCAGGCUUUACGCAUUUGAAUACAUUAGCAUGGAAUAAUAAGAUAGGACUUUGGUUCUAUUUAUAUGGUUUUCGGGACUGAAGUAAUGAUUGAUAGGGAUAGUUGGGGGUGCUUGUAUUGGACGGCCAGAGGUGAAAUUCUUGGAUUCGUUCAAGACAAACUACUGCGAAAGCAUUCACCAAGGAUAUUUUCUUUAA